UGUAUAUAGAUAUAUAAAUAUACAUAUAUAAGUGUGCGCCUGCCUGGGCUGUCGUUCACGUCUCUGCCAGCCCGCCCGCCCGCAUGUGGCGUUGGCUACCGACGGCUGUCGAAGCUGUCGCUUACGCAUUUGCAUCUACUACUCCUUCGCAGACCAUUUGAAUCCUCAAGUGGUUUACGAAUAAAAACCCAACAACAGCAACAACAACAAGGAAUACGCGCAACAACAAAAAACACGCUCGUGACCUCAUCAGCAGUCCAUCACUAACAAGAACAACAACAGCAACAGUUAUUGCUUUUCCUGCGCCCAGCUGGGCUUCAUCUUCAGCAGCAAUCCUCGUGCAGUGGAGCAACGGCUUUUAAGGCGUACCUUAGCAGCAGUGCUGCUCUAACACAUCCACAAUAAAGCCAAAGCAGAAGGCGAGGCGAAUUGCAUGCGGCAGUUGAAAGCCAGACGCAGUGGAAGAUUGGACAGGACGUUUACCAAUUAGUUUAGAAUGGAUGUGGAAAGGCGGCGUCGGUGAGUAAUACUAUAUAC